rnacentral:rRNA from 1 species
AUCCAGACUCCUACGGGAGGCAGCAGCGGGGAAUAUUGCACAAUGGGGGGAACCCUGAUGCAGCGACGCCGCGUGAGUGAAGAAGUAUUUCGGUAUGUAAAGCUCUAUCAGCAGGGACGAAGAUGACGGUACCUGCAGAAGAAGCCCCGGCUAACUACGUGCCAGCAGCCGCGGUAAUACGUAGGGGGCAAGCGUUAUCCGGAUUUACUGGGUGUAAAGGGAGCGUAGGCGGGACUGCAAGUUGGGUGUCAAAUCUACCGGCUCAACCGGUAGCCGCACUCAAAACUGCAGUUCUUGAGUGAAGUAGAGGCAGGCGGAAUUCCUAGUGUAGCGGUGAAAUGCGUAGAUAUUAGGAGGAACACCAGUGGCGAAGGCGGCCUGCUGGGCUUUUACUGACGCUGAGGCUCGAAAGUGUGGGGAGCAAACAGGAUUAGAUACCCCAGUA